UUUUUUAUAGUGUAAUUAACACGUUGUAUUUUCAUUACAAAACUGAAAUAUUUUAUUUCUAAAAAUA
rnacentral:tRNA from 1 species